GCCUUAGCUCAGUGGUAGAGCAUCUGCCUUGCAUACAGGAGAUCCCAGGUUCAAUACCUGGCAGCUCCA